GUUUUUGUGGUUGGCUUUUUGUUUUUGUUUAACUUUUGGAAAAUUUUUAAAGUGAUAAUAGAUAAGUAUUUCAUGUAUGUGGCAAAAAAAAAAAAUUGGCUUAAUUAGAAGGGGUAUUAUCUGAACAAUAUAAAAACAGAAUGAAGCAAGCUAAUCUGAAUCAUCACUUUAGGGUAUCCAUAGCCUAAGAAAUGUGUCAGAAGAUCUAAAGCCUUCCUUCAUAUUCCAGUUCUGUGAGUCCCUAACAGCAGGCAGCAUCCAUGCUGAAGCACAUACACCUCCGCUCCUCACCAGUGGGUUUUCUUUAUUUAUGAAUUGAUCUGAUUUCUCAACCUCAUUUGAACUAAAAAACAAGACCAUGAACAUUAAAAGAUUGCAUUUACCUUUUCAGUGGUAGAAAAUCAUUUAGUUCUUUGCUAUAAAUGAUUCAGAAUUUUGUCAGAUUUUGUAGGUUGUAUCAUCGUAAGACGGAGUUGCAUAAGGAGAUCAUAAGCUGUGUGGCUAUUGCACUAACAAGCCUGUGAGCUUUCAGAGGGGAAAAACUAGAGGGCGAGAGGGGCCCCUGAAAGUUCCUGUGACAGGGAUGCUCAGCAGGGAGGAGGGAAAGCCUGUAUAGCUAGCCUGACAUUUUGUUUCUUGUACAAUAUCUCAUGUGACCCAAACUUGAGACUCCAAACAGUACCUUUGCUUUGUUUGUACAAAAAUGAAGACCUAUAGCCAACACAAAGCAAAUGCCAGAGGUAUUGGAUGAUGCCAUAUUUGAACUGCCAUCUAUUAGCAUAUUCAUCACACUACAUAGACAUAGUUUUACUGCCCCCUUUUUAGCUCAUGGGAUUUCCUGUUUACAGGUAGCAAUAGUCAAUUAUUUAACUACUUAGUUGCCACCAGGAGUCACUGAGCCAAUGACUAUCAGCUGCUGACUAAUCUUCACACUGUAGUUAUUGCUUCAUUUACAGGUCCUCUGUGCUUAAUUGCUGUUUUUGUUGCUGUAGUACCUUAUGAAUUCUUAAUUCAUUGAGACUUAGUGACCAUCUGGGUCCAUGUUAAUAUCAUAUAAUAGCAAAUUCCUUUCAGAAGUCUCUAGCUUUAGUGCUAAAAUACUACUGAGAAAGGAACUAGGUAGUUUGGUGAAUGAAAGAAAACAAAAUUUGAAGAUAUUAUGUAGUGGUCAAGGACCACUAAUAUUUGGGGAGUGUGUUUUGUCUGUUCUUCAAUGAAGGAUCAAUCCAGUGUUCUUCAUCAAUGUUAGUUAAUAUCCCAUUGCUUGUGUGGCGCCUUGAGUUGGUGGUAGACUAGGGCAAAUGCCCUCUUUAGUGAGAGACCAGAGGUUUUGUAUAAGUUAUUGUCCUGCUCCCUUUUCAGUUGUCUUGAAGAGCUCUUGCUACUAACUUUGGGUCCUGCUUUUCAUUUAGGUAGAUGGUAAGCAUUCUCUUAAUCAUAAUUAGAACAAACUAGUGACCAAAUUGUCAUCUGCUAGUAUGGAAGUUCUUAGUUUUCUUAACCAUGCUUUAUGUCUUGUCCAGGUAUGUCAGUCCAGUUUCCAUGACGUACCCCCUUCAGAAGUUUCUGACAUUGGUUUGAGGUUUUCUGACACUAAUUAAAAGAAAAAUUAGAUCAGGGUGUGGUAGCAAAUGCCUAUAAUCCCAGCAUUUAGGAGGCAGGGAUAGGAAUCUCAGGUUCAAGGCUGCCUACAAGUGUCUCAAAAAAGAAAGAACAAAAGAAAGGUAGAUGCUAUAGUAUAGGUCCUUUGAAAAUCCAAUAGAAGGUUAAUAGUAUUCACACACAGGUCUAGGCAGGGUUUUAAACAUAUUCCCCAUCAGUUUUUAGGUUAACAUAUACUUGCUAUAGCUAAUGAAAAGGGCUUUUCUUUUUUCUUUUUCUUUCUCUUUUUUUCCUUUUUCACUCAAAAUACUAUUAAGGAGUUUCUCAGACAAAUUGAAAAUUCUAUAUGUUUUGAGGAAAUAAGGGGAAGCUUUAGAGUUUAAUAGGAUAUUCAAAACUAUAAAAGAAUAUCAUCUUAAAAAACUGUUCUGGCAACUAUCUGCUACCAGAAGGUUAGAUUGAGAAAGCAGAUCCAAUAUAUGCAAGACAUUUCUUCAAACUCCAAACUACUACCAGAAACACAUUUUAUCACCCAUUGUGAGAGUCACUUGGUCAAAUUUAGUUAAUGAGUCCAUUUUGAUCAUAAUGCACUCACACUAGUGUGUUUGAAUACUGACUGUCUGUCUGUCCAGUAAGGAUUUCUGCCCCCAUCUAAUUGUGUGGCACCCAGUUUUUCCAUGUAGGUCAUUAUACCUGGAUGAUAACAUCAAUUUAGUUACAAUGCAUGUAGUUUGCACAAUGAUUAAAAUGAAUAGGUUUGUGUUUAUAGCCUAUAAUAACUCUAGUUGAAUCAUGUACACAGCAGGAGUGGUCACAGUAAAAACUGGUAGCAGGAAAAUUUGAAAGGGUUUGAAAUGCCCUGAAAUCAGGGCAAGUACUUAAUGGGGAAAAAAAAGCAGAAAUGUCAACAUUUGACCAAAUUAACACUACCUCCUCCCCAGUUGUUGGUAUUCAUUCAUUAUAUGUGUGUUUAACAGGAUGAGAGCAUGGCGAGCUUGUAGCACACCAGAGGUUGUAGACCUAUAUCUGGUAUCCAGAACCUGACAGGGAAACAGUUCUUGGUCCCCCUUUUUUGGGGUCAGCAUUUUAAAAAUGCAAAGCCUAUAUGUUGAGACAUUGUAUUCCUAAUUAGAUUCUCUGUCCUUUGCACAUAACUUUCUUUUAAACUUAGUUCUAACCCUAAAUCUUGACAUCAGAAAGUGUUUGCACUGUAUAAACAAUGUUAGCUGAAAGCAUGUUUAUUUUUUAAGGAGCUCCUGCUCUUCUGCACAUUUCCAUAUCUAGAGAUGGAUAGUCCUGAACUUGACGUCACACCCACAGGUGAAACAGCCCGAAGUCAAGGCCUUGCUAGUAAAUGGAGCUUUGUACAUAGUCAUUGUGAUGUCUUGGCUGCCCGGACACCACGUAAACAUAACACUAAAGAAACUGUCCUGGAGAUCCCAUCCUGCUACUAAGAAGUUUUCUGUACAUCACUUCCAAACAUUGGAAACUUUCAGAUCAUAAGGCAGAAUUUAGUAAUUUUGUGCUUCUGUUAAUGUCUAGCAUUUUAAACAUAGGAUAACAUUGUUUUGGACACUGGAAUAAUAUGAUUUAUUUUCACCUGUAAAAAUGACUUCAUUGUACUUGAACACCUUUGCAUUUCUCCAUUUGUGCCAUUUACAAGUGGAAAUAAAUUUUAUUAUACCAUG
rnacentral:lncRNA from 1 species